AGAGUUUGAUCCUGGCUCAGAACGAACGCUGGCGGCGUGCCUGAGACAUGCAAGUCGUGGGAGAAAGUCGGAGCAAUCCGGCUAGUAAACCGGCGCACGGGUGAGUAACACGUGGACAACCUGCCCUGGAGACUGGGAUAACCCGUCGAAAGACGGACUAAUACCGGAUAAGACCACGAGGGGUUCGCCCCUUGAGGUAAAAGGUGGCCUCUGCUCCUGCAAGCUAUUACUCCAAGAAGGGUCCGCGCCCUAUCAGCUAGUUGGUGAGGUGACGGCUCACCAAGGCAAAGACGGGUAGCUGGUCUGAGAGGAUGGUCAGCCACACUGGGACUGAGACACGGCCCAGAGUCCUACGGGAUGCAGCAGUCAGGAAUAUUGCGCAAUGGAGGAAACUCUGACGCAGCGACGCCGCGUGGGUGAUGAAGGCCUUCGGGUCGUAAAGCCCUGUCGGAGGGGAAGAAAAGCCUGUUGGCUAAUAUCCAGCGGGCCUUUGACGGUACCCCCAAAGGAAGCACCGGCUAACUCCGUGCCAGCAGCCGCGGUAAU
rnacentral:rRNA from 1 species